CCGAGGUCCUCAAGGAGGCGCCGCCGCCAUCGUUGCAGGCCUCCGGGUUGCCAUCGGGACACCGCUGCCGAGAUCCGCCUUCGCCUUCGUCCGGCAGAGGCGGCGGAAGGCAGCCGGGAGGGGAAGCGCACAACGACCCAGAAGACAUCCUCCCUCACGCGCUCAUCGUCUUGCUCGAUCUACCCGAGGGCUGCCGAUGGGCGCCUCGGCGGCGGCCACGGCGAGAUCUGCGUCUGGGACGUGACAAUCCCUCCACCCCGGUCGCCGGUGAGAUUUCACUGUCUCGAUCCUCCCGGUCCCAGUUUAUCAGGUCAUCCCUGACAAGAGGGAGCGAGAGAUGCUACUGCCGGGCACGUGGACGCACGUGGGGCGGCUGCCUGCGAGCAGGGCCGCGUCCUCUCUCCUUCGUCGACCAUGGCCUCCGAACCACUCCGUUGUACCUCUGCGCCCAAGUGUCCGCUCCUCGAUCUUCAACAGAUUUGUUAUCGCCUCUCUUCCGUUGCAGGUAGGGUACACUUGAUGUUUCAUGUUUGGUGAAAGAAAAGGAGCUUCCUAUGUUGAUUUCAGGCAAGACAUACAUUCUGCCAUGCAUUAGUAGAUCAAUUGCUUCUUUGUGUAGGGGAACGAUUAGUGAUUGAAUCUCUCUGUCUCGUUUCUUGAUUAUCCAAUUAAUUUACCCUCAUCUAUGCAUAAA